GCACAAGAAGAGCGUUGUUGUUGUUGGGAUUAUAUUAAGACUGGUAAAGAGUUUCCAGUGGGUUUCAGAGGAUACAGGAUACAGACAGUAGAACACUAACCAAUGUUGUCACAUGGAGGCUUACAAGGUCUUCAGCAACCAGAACCCAGGAGGCCAAGAGCAAAGGAUCCCAAAAUAUCUGAGAGAUGCAAGUCGCCUGGCAGAAACUCUCCACCAUGAAGCGUCUCUGGAGUCCCCACAUAAAGGCCCCUCCGCCUGACCCCUCUCUGCAACACCACCAAGGUCAUCCCCACAGCCAGGCCCGGUCAAACCGAGGCAGGUGCUGCCGUUCCCCGGUAGGUGAACCACCCCUCCCAACCCACAGAGAGAUUUAUAACACCCCCAGCCAAGAACUACAAACCAAAAACCCGUCACUCUGUUUUCAGGAAGGCUGUGACUUUGGACACGUACUUCAAAAUCAAUUUACUGUUGAAUUAGUAAAACACUUUAAAAAUGACUAUUGGUGUUAAGCUCAUUCUUAGUUAUAGUGAACUGGACCGAAACAUUAGCAGCUCUCCACAAAGCUCACCUUAGAAAUCUAACAAAGUUUCCAAACCAACUUUGUUUUAGCCAAACGGUGACAGCUGCAGCAGGACGUUCCUGCAGGCAUAGCAACAGGUUGCUAUAGCAACCGACAGGAGAAACGUAUCAGGGUUUUGUUUUUCAGUGAAUGCCGACUCAACUAGUAGCCUUCCCAAUAUCAGAGAUUUGAACAGAUUCUUCAGUAUGUCAGCCAUUUUGGCUGAUGUACUGAAUUUAAAGAAUCACAUUUAUAAGUUACAAACAGAAUCAUGAGUUUUCUGUGCAAGUCUAUCAAGACUUGACUUUUAACAUGUCUAACAUGUUUAAAAGUAAAAUCCUGAUUUUUAAACAUGUUUAAGCUUAUUUCCAUGAACCAGAUGAAAAGAAACGGCAGCAGUACAUGGAUACGGUGCACAUACAUACAGGAACCUUCGUCUUUUAAACGUUACUUUACUGGACCUCAGCAGUUUCUCUGAGAUUUCAAGGCUCUUGAUAUUUUCCAUAACUACUUUCCUUGGAGUUACUUUAGCAGAGGACUGGGCAGUGGGCUGAAUGCAGGGUAUAAUCACCUGGUACCUUUCUGAAAAGUGUUCAAGACUUUAAAGAAGUAAAGUUCCUUUACUUCUCAGAAACUACGGGGAUUAAAGCCACUUUCAGAAGGCUACAUUUCAGGAGACUGCGGCUCCUGAAAUGUACAUUUUACUUUCCCAGAUCUUACACCAUACUUUCCAGUACUUUUUGGAACUUGCAGGUUUCCUUCUCAGAGUUUUCUCUUUACAUUCAAUAAAUCUCUGAGGCAUUUUCCAUAACUUACAGGUUACUUUCUCAAACCUACAAGUUGAUUUCUCAGAAUUUAAAGCUUGCAUUCUGAUAUCCCAAAACUUAUAUGGCACUUUUCCAGAAAGUACAGGUUGCUUUCCUGAGGUUACUGGGUAUUCUACGAAAACGUUUGGGAUUUUCUUGCUCAGGUUUUCCAGAGCUUGUGGGAUUGACAGGUUGCCUGUCUGGAAGCUUUAGUUUGGUACCAUACCUGUUACACCAGUAUGAAAGGACAGGUGUGAAUCUCUGGCCACCCUGGGAAAGUUUUCUGGCUCCGUCUCUGUUCAUGACUCCCAGUCCUGGAUUUGCUGCCGGCACCGGCACCACUCUCCCUCCAGAACCCGGUAUGCUGCCUUGGUUCUAGGUUGUGUGUUUCCGUUUUGGUUCAGGAAGUUCUGGUUUUGUUAUUGGCAGCAGAAUUGUUGCUGAUUGAACAGAACUUUCUUCGUUGGUUAUUACACUGUUGGUUAUAUAACUUAUCAUUUUAAUCAGUUACAUUCGUGCUGAGGAAUAUUUAAGAACAAGCGAGGCAUUGAUGAAUCGAGAAUUUUUCAGUGAUGGACUAGAAGAUAUGAAAAGUCCUUUAUUAUCUUCAGUCACAUAUUUAUCUCUGGAUCAUUGUCUAAAAUAUUCUGUCACUGGUAAAAAAUAAUAAAUCAAAGCUCUACAGUUGCCUGGCUGUUGCCUGCCUAUGACGUUCUGCUCGAUUCUCAUCUCCCUUCAGAGAGAUGAGAAUCUCUUCAACUGGGAUUUCUCCCAUUGAGUUGGAUUUCCCAGGCAUCAGCUAACAGAAGAAGUUGUGAAAAAUGGCUGUUUUAUAACUGCAGUUUCCUGUGCAGGUCCCUGCAUCCCUUAGUAUGCGGUUGGUUGUAAAGGUUUACCUUAUGGGGAUGUUUCCAGCAGAUGUCCACAUUGCACAUGCAAGAGUAUGUUGGGUACAACAUGAAACUGCUGCUGCGCACGUCAUGCAACAGGUUGUUGCUAGGUAUCCACAGACUUCAACAGCUGCUUCUUCUGCACCGAUCAAUCAAAAGAUCUUGUAAUAAUUCCUGUGACAUACACGGCCCGCCUACCUCCAUGUACGG